GGGCCCGCACAAGCGGUGGAGCAUGUGGUUUAAUUCGAUGAUACGCGAGGAACCUUACCAGGGUCUUAAAUGUAGGAUGCAUUAGUUGAGAUUACUUAUUUCUUCGGACUUCUAGCAAGGUGCUGCAUGGUUGUCGUCAGCUCGUGCCGUGAGGUGUCAGGUUCAAGUCCUAUAACGAGCGCAACCCUUGUUCGUUAGUUGCCAUCAAGUAAAGUUGGGGACUCUACGAGACUGCCGGUGCAACCGAGAGGAAGGAUGGGGAUGACGUCAAUCAUCACGCCCUUACGUCCUGGCUACACACGUGCUACAAUGGUAUGGACAGACGACGCAGCCACAUAUGCGAAUAGGAGCG
rnacentral:rRNA from 1 species